UACGAAAAUGACAGAAGAGGACAGUGGAUCAGGGCUGUGCAACGAACAAGGCCGGAGAGGCAGCUUUGGCAGCCUGUGCGGGGCGAGACUCGCAUAUGCAGCGCGCACUUCGUGGGAAACAAAAAGAGCUCCGCUGCGAUGCACCCUUCUUAUCUGCCAACGAUAUUUCCGUCGUGCGGCGGAAGAAGCAACGGCGUUUAACCGCGAAAAUAAACGAAUUAAGGCUCGCGG
rnacentral:lncRNA from 1 species